UGGGGAAUAUUGGACAAUGGGCGCAAGCCUGAUCCAGCCAUGCCGCGUGAGUGACGAAGGUCUUCGGAUUGUAAAGCUCUUUUGGCGGGGACGAUAAUGACGGUACCCGCAGAAUAAGCCCCGGCUAACUUCGUGCCAGCAGCCGCGGUAAUACGAAGGGGGCUAGCGUUGCUCGGAAUCACUGGGCGUAAAGCGCACGUAGGCGGAUUCUUAAGUCAGAGGUGAAAGCCUGGAGCUCAACUCCAGAACUGCCCUUGAUACUGGGAGUCUCGAGUUCGGGAGAGGUGAGUGGAACUGCGAGUGUAGAGGUGAAAUUCGUAGAUAUUCGCAAGAACACCAGUGGCGAAGGCGGCUCACUGGCCCGAUACUGACGCUGAUGCACGAAAGCGUGGGGAUCAAACA
rnacentral:rRNA from 1 species